AGAUUGAACGCUGGCGGCAUGCCUUACACAUGCAAGUCGAACGGCAGCACGGGGGCAACCCUGGUGGCGAGUGGCGAACGGGUGAGUAAUGCAUCGGAACGUGCCCAGUAGUGGGGGAUAACUAGUCGAAAGAUUAGCUAAUACCGCAUACGACCUACGGGUGAAAGCGGGGGAUUCGCAAGAACCUCGCGCUAUCGGAGCGGCCGAUGUCUGAUUAGCUAGUUGGCGGGGUAAAGCCACCAAGGCUUCGAUCAGUAGCUGGUCUGAGAGGACGACCAGCCACACUGGGACUGAGACACGGCCCAGACUCCUACGGGAGCAGCAGUGGGAUUUGGACAAUGGGCGCAAGCCUGAU
rnacentral:rRNA from 1 species